rnacentral:rRNA from 1 species
UACGGGGGGGGCAAGCGUUGUUCGGAUUUACUGGGCGUAAAGGGCGCGUAGGCGGCACCGCAAGUCGACUGUGAAAUCUCCGGGCUUAACUCGGAAAGGUCAGCCGAUACUGCGGGGCUAGAGUGCAGAAGGGGCAACUGGAAUUCUCGGUGUAGCGGUGAAAUGCGUAGAUAUCAGGAGGAACACCGGUGGCGAAGGCGGCCCUCUGGACGGUGACUGACGCUGAGACGCGAAAGCGUGGGGAGCAAACAGG